rnacentral:rRNA from 1 species
UACGUAGGGUGCGAGCGUUAAUCGGAAUUACUGGGCGUAAAGAGCGCGUAGGCUGUUUGGUAAGCGGAGGGUGAAAUUCCGGGGCUCAACCCCGGAGCUGCUCUCCGAACUGCCAGACUAGAGUUUGGGAGAGGGUAGUGGAAUUCCUGGUGUAGCGGUGGAAUGCGUAAAUAUCAGGAAGAACACCUGUGGCGAAGGCUGCUACCUGGAACAAUACUGACGCUGAGGCGCGAAAGCUAGGGGAGCGAACGGG